AGUGAACGCUGGCGGUAGGCCUAACACAUGCAAGUCGAACGGCAGCACAGAGGAGCUUGCUCCUUCGGUGGCGAGUGGCGGACGGGUGAGGAAUACAUCGGAAUCUACUCUGUCGUGGGGGAUAACGUAGGGAAACUUACGCUAAUACCGCAUACGACCUACGGGUGAAAGCAGGGGAUCUUCGGACCUUGCGCGAUUGAAUGAGCCGAUGUCGGAUUAGCUAGUUGGCGGGGUAAGGGCCCACCAAGGCGACGAUCCGUAGCUGGUCUGAGAGGAUGAUCAGCCACACUGGAACUGAGACACGGUCCAGACUCCUACGGGAGGCAGCAGUGGGGAAUAUUGGACAAUGGGCGCAAGCCUGAUCCAGCCAUACCGCAUGGGUGAAGAAGGCCUUCGGGUUGUAAAGCCCUUUUGUUGGGAAAGAAAUCCAUCUGGUUAAUACCCGGGUGGGAUGACGGUACCCAAAGAAUAAGCACCGGCUAACUUCGUGCCAGCCGCCGCGGUAA
rnacentral:rRNA from 1 species